rnacentral:rRNA from 1 species
UACGGGGGGGGCAAGCGUUGUUCGGAAUUACUGGGCGUAAAGGGUUUGUAGGUGGCUUGUUAAGUCAGACGUGAAAUCCCUCAGCUUAACUGAGGAACUGCGUCUGAUACUGGCGAGCUUGAGUGCAGGAGAGGAACGCGGAAUUCCAGGUGUAGCGGUGAAAUGCGUAGAUAUCUGGAGGAACACCGGUGGCGAAGGCGGGUCUCUGGGCCGAUACUGACGCUGAGGAGCGAAAGCGUGGGGAGCGAACAGG